rnacentral:tRNA from 1 species
GGAGAGGUAGCAUAGUUUGGUCGAAUGCGCGCGCCUGGAGAGCGCGUGAGCAGCAAUGCUCCGUGGGUUCAAAUCCCACCCUCUCCG